CAGCCGCCGCGGGAAUACGAAGGGGGCUAGCGUUGUUCGGAAUUACUGGGCGUAAAGCGCACGUAGGCGGAUAUUUAAGUCAGGGGUGAAAUCCCAGAGCUCAACUCUGGAACUGCCUUUGAUACUGGGUAUCUUGAGUAUGGAAGAGGUGAGUGGAAUUCCGAGUGUAGAGGUGAAAUUCGUAGAUAUUCGGAGGAACACCAGUGGCGAAGGCGGCUCACUGGUCCAUUACUGACGCUGAGGUGCGAAAGCGUGGGGAGCAAACAGGAUAGAUACCCCAGUAGUCCCUGUCUCUUAUACC
rnacentral:rRNA from 1 species